GCGCUCCUCGAGGGGCAGGAGGUCCCCGCGGGGCAGCGCGGGGUCGCAGGAGGCGCUGGGGGCGGCCACGUAGAGCGGGACCCCGUGGUGCCGCGCCGCCAGCGCCAGCGCGUACGUCCCGAUCUUGUUGGCCGUGUCCCCGUUGGCGGCCACGCGGUCGGCGCCCACCACCACGGCUGGGGGGGGGACACGGGGAGGGGGGGGGGUGAGACCCCCGACCCGGGCUCGGCCGGGCCCACGAACCCCGGCCCCGGGGCCCCGUAACAGCCCCGGCCCUCCCGCCCCGCCGUGUCCCAGCCGCCACGGCCCCGUCCCACGGCCCCGUCCCCAUCAUCCCAUGUCCCCAUUCCCAUCCCAUGUCCCCAUCCCAUGUCCCUGUCCCCAUCCCCUUGUCCCCAUCCCCAUCCCACAUCCCCAUUCCCUUGUCCCUAUCCCAUGGCCCUGUCCCCAUGUCCCCAUCCCACAUCCCUGUCCCCACCCCACGUCCCCAUUCCCUUGUCCCUAUCCCACGUCCCCAUGUCCCCAUCCCCAUGUCCCUGUCCCCAUCCCAUGUCCCCAUCCCCUUGUCCCCAUCCCAUGUCCCCAUGGCCCCAUCCCACAUCCCCAUUCCCUUGUCCCUAUCCCACGCCUCCAUGUCCCUGUCCCCAUGCCAUGCCCGUCCCCAUCCCAUGUCCCUGUACCCAUGUCCCCGUCCCCGUCCCACGUCCCCAUCCCCUUGUCCCUAUCCCACAUCCCCAUGCCCCUGUCCCCAGCCCACGGCCCCAUCCCCAUGUCCCCAUCCCAUGCCCGGCCCCAUCCCAGAUCCCUGUCCCCGUCCCCAUCCCCCUGUCCCCAUCCCUGUUCCCCUGUCCUCGUCAUCCCACAUCCCUGU
rnacentral:lncRNA from 1 species